rnacentral:rRNA from 1 species
GUCGAGAAUCUUUCACAAUGGGGGCAACCCUGAUGGAGCGACGCCGCGUGGAGGAUAAGGUCUUCGGAUUGUAAACUCCUGUCAUGCGUGAACAAGGUUGCUUGGAUAAUACCUGAGCAAAUUGAUGGUAGCGCAAGAGGAAGAGACGGCUAACUCUGUGCCAGCAGCCGCGGUAAUACAGAGGUCUCAAGCGUUGUUCGGAAUCACUGGGCGUAAAGGGUGCGUAGGUGGCGUGGCAAGUCAGAUGUGAAAGCCCGGGGCUCAACCGCGGAACUGCAUCUGAUACUGCCAUGCUAGAGUACUGGAGGGGUGACUAGAAUUCUCGGUGUAGCAGUGAAAUGCGUAGAUAUCGAGAGGAAUACCAAAGGCGUAGGCAGGUCACUGGACAGUUACUGACACUGAGGCACGAAGGCCAGGGGAGCGAACGGGAUUAGAAACCCGGGUAGUCC